rnacentral:lncRNA from 1 species
GCUGUUCUUCCACUUCUCUCACCCCAGCUUUUUGAUGGGAUUGAGUGUGGGUGGGAAGGGCCUUCAUUAAAUUCUCUCUUUUUGGGAUUAACUUUGCUCAGGUUGGAGGGCUUUGGGGGUCUGGGAGGAGAUGGUGGAGGCAGGUUCAUAUGAGGAUAACAUGAGAUGCAUGUCAUGAUGGGGAGGUUGUCCUGGCUAGCAUAAGGCUCAGUGUGAUUCCACCCACUUCUAGUGACCUCUUCAUGGCUGGUAAAUUAGCUUCCACAGUUCUGCUCCAUUGCUGAGGUUUCCCCAGAGAGGGAAGCCAUGUCCCCUGAGACUCCCGAUAUUGGUCCAUGUUUCAAUCUUCUUUCCAAGGUGGCAGCUUCUCCCUCUCCAUUACCACCAGGAUGGCCCCAGAGCUCCUGCUGUUUCACAUGAAAGAGCAGAGAUUUUCACUGCAGGAGAGAGCUGUGGUGAGGUACAAAUGAGAUAACAGAUGGAAAAGCACUUUGCACACAGAUCCACUGAUAUAUGCAAAUAAGAAAUAUUAUUACCAUCCAGAAUGAGUGACUCUCUUAGUGGGUUGCAUAAUUGAAUAACUAAUUAAACAAUUUUUUCUUAUUGAAAGUCUAUCAUGUGCAAGAAAUGUGUUGGAGUCUCCUGUUGAUGAUAUAAUGGAUAAGGUUGAGUUAUGGCCCUCAAGGACUUUGCAAUUUUGUAUUUGAGAUGAAACAUAUUCAUUAAUAACUGUAAUGAAGACAGAAUUUGAAUGUGCCAUGAAAAAAGUUAUAGAAGUGCUACAGAAUUCAGAAGGGGAUCUUUUUUGACAGAAUGAUUAUGAAAGGUUUUAGAAACAGUUGGUUUUUGAGGUAGAUAUAGGGAAAUGGUUGAUAAGGAAUUCAGUUGGUGAGGAAUUCUUAGGAAAAGACACAGCAUGAAUAAAUAUACUUAUUAGAAAAUUAUAUUGCCCUUGGUGGGUGUUCAGUGGAAGCAUUUGUAUUAGUCAGGGUUAUACAGAGAGACAGAACCAGUAGAAUCUAUCUAUAUCUCUAUCUUUCUAUCUACCUACCUAUCUAUCUAGAUAUGUGAUAGGGGAUUUCUUAGAGGAAUUGGCUCAUGUGAUUAUGGAGGCUGAGAAGUCCCACACGGGCUGUCUGCAAGCUGGAGACCUGUUGUAAGUCCUGUAGUAAUAAAAGAGAAAGAGCCUGAAGUUUUGAUGUCCAAGGACGGGAAAAGAAGAGUGUAUCCCAGCUCCAGGAAAAAGAAACUCAAUAAUCUUU